rnacentral:rRNA from 1 species
GGCUCAGAACGAACGCUGGCGGCGUGCCUAACACAUGCAAGUCGAACGUGAUUAGAGAGCUUGCUCUCUAUGAAAGUGGCGCACGGGUGAGUAACGCGUAGAUAAUCUGCCUGGUGAUCGGGGAUAACACUUCGAAAGGGGUGCUAAUACCGGAUAAGCUCACGGAGUCCUUGGACUCUGCGAGAAAAGGGGGGGACCUUCGGGCCUUCUGUCAUCAGAUGAGUCUGCGUACCAUUAGCUAGUUGGUAGGGUAAAGGCCUACCAAGGCGACGAUGGUUAGCUGGUCUGAGAGGAUGAUCAGCCACACUGGAACUGAGACACGGUCCAGACUCCUACGGGAGGCAGCAGUGGGGAAUUUUGCGCAAUGGGGGAAACCCUGACGCAGCAACGCCGCGUGAGUGAUGAAGGCUCUUGGGUCGUAAAGCUCUGACAGAGGGAAAGAAAUGUAUUGCGGCUAAUACCUGCGAUACUUGACGGUACCCUCAAAGGAAGCACCGGCUAACUCCGUGCCAGCAGCCGCGGUAAUACGGGGGGUGCAAGCGUUGUUCGGAUUUAUUGGGCGUAAAGCGCGUGUAGGCGGUUUGGUAAGUCUGAUGUGAAAGCCCUGGGCUCAACCCGGGAAGUGCAUUGGAUACUGUCAGACUUGAAUACGGGAGAGGGCAGUGGAAUUCCUAGUGUAGGAGUGAAAUCCGUAGAUAUUAGGAGGAACACCGGUGGCGAAGGCGGCUGCCUGGACCGAUAUUGACGCUGAGACGCGAAAGCGUGGGUAGCAAACAGGAUUAGAUACCCUGGUAGUCCACGCCGUAAACGAUGAGAACUAGGUGUUGCGGGUAUUGACCCCUGCAGUGCCGUAGCUAACGCAUUAAGUUCUCCGCCUGGGAAGU